GACGAACGCUGGCGGCGCGCUUAACACAUGCAAGUCGAAGGGAAAGGCCUGCUUUCCCUUGUGGAUUGCGGGUACUCGAGUGGCGAACGGGUGAGUAACACGUGAGUGAUCUGCCCCCAACUUGGGUAUAAGCCUGGGAAACUGGGUCUAAUUCCCGAUAGGACUGCAGGGUGGUGCCUGUGGUGGAAAACGAUUUUCUAGUGGUUGGGGAUGAGCUCGCGGCCUAUCAGCUUGUUGGUGGGGUAAUGGCCUACCAAGGCGGCGACGGGUAGCCGGCCUGGGAGGGUGGACGGCCACAUUGGGACUGAGAUACGGCCCAGACUCCUACGGGAGGCAGCAGUGGGGAAUAUUGCGCAAUGGGCGGAAGCCUGAUGCAGCGACGCCGCGUGGGGGAUGACGGCCUUCGGGUUGUAAACUCCUUUCGACCGCGAGGAAGCCACCUGGUUGGAAGGGUGGUGACGGUAGUGGUAGAAGAAGCACCGGCUAACUACGU
rnacentral:rRNA from 1 species